AUUGAACGCUGCGGCAUGCCUUACACAUGCAAGUCGAACGGCAGGCACGGGAGCAAUCCUGGUGGCGAGUGGCGAACGGGUGAGUAAUAUAUCGGAACAUGCCCAGUCUGGGGGAUAACGUAGCGAAAGCUACGCUAAUACCGCAUACGAUCUAUGGAUGAAAGCGGGGGAUCGCAAGACCUCGCGCGAUUGGAGCGGCCGAUAUCAGAUUAGGUAGUUGGUGAGGUAAAGGCUCACCAAGCCGACGAUCUGUAGCUGGUCUGAGAGGACGACCAGCCACACUGGGACUGAGACACGGCCCAGACUCCUACGGGAGGCAGCAGUGGGGAAUUUUGGACAAUGGGCGCAAGCCUGAUCCAGCAAUGCCGCGUGCAGGAUGAAGGCCUUCGGGUUGUAAACUGCUUUGUACGGAACGAAACGGUGAGCUCUAAUACAGUUUGCUAAUGACGGUACCGUAAGAAUAAGCACCGGCUAACUACGUG
rnacentral:rRNA from 1 species